CUUUCGAUCGAAAAGUCGCCUAAAACGUGUUUUUUUUUUGUGUUAAACAAUAAACAUUUUUACUCAUAAAUAACUCGAAAAGUCUUGAGUUGACCACUUCGGUGGUGACAUUGAAAAUUACACGGUAUCGCCAUAUUUUACGUUGAUUUACUAGGCUGUAACACAUAUAGGCAUUUGUUACACAUGUCGCAUUGUGUAAUUUUUUAAAGGGGGCCCCAUUUCCAAUUCUGCGGGGGGGCCCCGACGGAGUUUGUUACGCCACUGAACAGGAUUGAAUACUUCGGACAGAUUAUGCGAAAUGAAUCCAGAUAUGCCCUCCUACAAGCCGUCCUGCAAGGAAAAAUAUUCGGUAAGCGGGGUCCAGGAAGAAGAAGAAUAUCCUGGUUGAAGAAUUUCAGAACCUGGUUCAACACAACAUCUGUGUAGCUUUUACGCGCUGCUGCAGAUAAUAUUCCCUAACAACACACAACAUUCCAGGAAUGUACUACCAAAGUUCUAUAAAUAUUUGAAUGUCCUGGACAUUUAGGGAACAUUCGGUGAACAUCUGACUAAAUUAUUCCUGGAAUUUUACCAUAAGACAUUCUGUGAACAUACUACCAAUGUUCCUAUAUGUUCAUUUACAAAUUCACGGCGCAUGUAUUUGUGCAUGGUGCUUAGAGAGGGCAUCACGUGACUAAAAACGACCAAUGACCUCACUUCAGACUUCGGUGCUUCGGCCAUCUUGGCAUGCAUCUUGGCCUUGGCCACCUUGCCGUGCCGCCGUGCGUGAUCGUUGUUUGUUUUUAUUUGUGCUUUUUAAGAAUAUUUUUUUAAUUCGGAUACUUUUAUAAUAACUUUAAUAGUAUUAUUAAUAUAGUGCAUAAAAUCAGUUGGAGUAGCAGAAGCAAUGUAGAUAAAAAAUCUGCAGGAAUAAUGUUUCAAAGGUUAGUAUAUGCAAAUAUGUAAACAAAGGCAUGCCCCUACUUCAGAAAAUAUCCAUUUAUUAUUUUAAUAAUUGCGAAUAAGCCACAAACUUGCUUAUUCCUACCUAAAAUAGUAAAUAGAGAUAAUAACAAACGGAUUAUUUGUAAAAUUAAAUUUUUUUUUGCGUUUUUGCUAAUGUAUGCCUUUAUAAACAGGAUGGUAGAUCACACACUAUAAUAGUACCAACUAAUGAAUACACGGUAUGAAUAGUAUAGUCGGUUCGCUAAACUUAGUCUCAGACACAACUGGCUAGUGAUUUUAGUAAAUAAUUUUGACAAUUUCGUAAAAUUUGCAAAAAAAUAAUAACUAAAUAGUUAGUAAUUUUGGCAAAAAUGGCCAAAAACAAAAAAAUUACCUACUAAAAUCACUAGCCAGUUGUGGCUAGGGAAACGACUAUAUUAAUAAACAAUUUCUAAGCUGCUUUUUAUAAUAUUUUGUGAGUUCAUUAAUCAUAUUUUUUAUUUAAAACUAAAAUUUGUUAAUAAUGCUCAGUAAUGCAUAUAUUUUGUAUUUUUAGCUUUCCAGAAGAUCCUGCGAAGAAGGCAUGAAGUAUUGAUCAGAUUUGUUAAUAGAGCAGUAUGUUCAAAACAUUUUUUAGAAAAAGAUAUUGACAGAACUUCACUUUCAACUGUUCGUUUGAGAGACUGUGCUGUUCCAAUAGCUUAUAUCACACAGAAUCAGCUGAGAGAAGUGGUCUACAAAAAGCCAGGAAGGAAAUGGAAUAUGUGGCUAUGAAAGGCAAAAGAAAGGUUUACAAAGCAAAUGUGACACAUUUUUUUAUAGGAAUAUCAGUAAAUUACAUUAAAAAAAUGUAUGAAAAGAUUUUUUGCAAUAAAAAUGUUUAUAUUUA